rnacentral:lncRNA from 1 species
UGAAAACCACGAAACGUUGGAACCAUUCCCAAACAAUGGAGAACAGUCAUCCAAGUAAGUUCAGCUUUGUCAAUGUCAGAGAUGAAUACGGAAGGACCUUUUCUUCGGCCAACUGCGAGAUAUGAUUCAUGUUAGGUGCCUGCGUUCCUACGUGCAUAAAUUCUAGUGCACACCUUUAGUUCCUAAAAAGUAAAAUCAGAAGGAUAAUAGCAUCCAACGCUG